UACGUAGGGUGCGAGCGUUGCCCGGAAUUAUUGGGCGUAAAGAGCUUGUAGGCGGUUUGUCGCGUCUGCCGUGAAAAUCCGGGGCUCAACCCCGGACUUGCGGUGGGUACGGGCAGACUAGAGUGUGGUAGGGGAGACUGGAAUUCCUGGUGUAGCGGUGAAAUGCGCAGAUAUCAGGAGGAACACCCAUGGCGAAGGCAGCAAACUGGGCAUCAACUGACGCUGAGGCGCGAAAGCGUGGGUAGCAAACAGG
rnacentral:rRNA from 1 species